rnacentral:rRNA from 1 species
GAUGAACGCUGGCGGCGUGCCUAAUACAUGCAAGUCGAGCGAAUGGAUUAAGAGCCUGCUCUUAUGAAGUUAGCGGCGGACGGGUGAGUAACACGUGGGUAACCUGCCCAUAAGACUGGGAUAACUCCGGGAAACCGGGGCUAAUACCGGAUAACAUUUUGAACCGCAUGGUUCGAAAUUGAAAGGCGGCUUCGGCUGUCACUUAUGGAUGGACCCGCGUCGCAUUAGCUAGUUGGUGAGGUAACGGCUCACCAAGGCAACGAUGCGUAGCCGACCUGAGAGGGUGAUCGGCCACACUGGGACUGAGACACGGCCCAGACUCCUACGGGAGGCAGCAGUAGGGAAUCUUCCGCAAUGGACGAGAGUCUGACGGAGCAACGCCGCGUGAGUGAUGAAGGCUUUCGGGUCGUAAAACUCUGUUGUUAGGGAAGAACAAGUGCUAGUUGAAUAAGCUGGCACCUUGACGGUACCUAACCAGAAAGCCACGGCUAACUACGUGCCAGCCGCCGCGGUAA